UCAGAGAAGACUGGGGAGGUCUGGAGUAAGGGUGGGGACAUAGGGAGGUAUGGGAGACUGGCACAGAAAGAAUAUUCCAGAGACAGGGAACGGCAAACAAACAAACAAACAAACAACGUCAAGGAGGACAGGCUGCUCCUAGGUGUGGUGGAGAAGAAAAGUUUAUUGUUGAUAAAAGGGAGAGAGCAUAGGCAGAGGCAGGGACAUCUGGGAGAGUUCACAGUGGACAUGACUGAACCAUGUGAGGAGAGAGGCAGCGUGAAGAGGGACGAGCCAGGAAGAGGAGAGGGUAGGCAAAAGGGGUGGGCAAGCAAAAUGGCUGGAUUACAUAGGGAAGGGCAGCCCAGCCCCUUGGCUGGAGAAGCUUAAGAUAGAGGUGUGGAGUGCCAGUCACACUCUGUGACAGGUAGGAUGCUGGGAGAACCAGGUAGGUGCUGGGAGAAUCUACUUUGAUAUGCUAAAUAGGCAUCUCUGUCAGUGACUUGUCCGGGUUUGAGACCUAACAGUAUGGUCUAAGACCUGGAGGGAGGAGUUUGGGGCAAUGUGGGAGUGGGUGGGUCCCACUGCAUUUAAGCUUUUAUCUUGCUCUUAAGGGCAGAGGAUACCUGGAGCAGAGAUCUGCCACACUCAGACUUGAACAUCUGGUUAGCUGCUGUGGCUCCCAAGGGGUUCUUGAGAUCCUUGGGGUCUGGGUAGCAGAGACAGAGCAGGGCGGAUGCCUGAGAGGUGAUGCUGUGCCUUUCACCAUAGCUAAGGACUGGGACCAGCUUGGACGCCCACCUACAGAUGGAUGGGGGAAAAAAAGUUCUAGGCACGAAUAAAAUCAUGAUUUUUGUGGGAAAAUGGAUUGUGUUAAGUAAAAUAAGCCAAGAUCAGAAAGCGUGUGUCUGUAUGUGUGUAGUCAGGGGACCGUCACAGGGCUCUCUGUAGCCCUUGCUAUCCUGGAACUCUCUCUGUACAGCAGGCUGCCUUGAACUCAGAGAUCCACCUGUCCCUGCCUCCCCAGUGCUGGGUUUAAAAGCGUGGGCCACCACCAGCCGGAGGAAGAUAUAUUGAGGGCGCAGGACGCAUGUAACGGAUGGAGAAGGGAAGACUGUGUCGGAGGAAGGAAAUUCACAAGAGUGACUAGAGAGAAUGCCGAAGGAUAAUGGGAAAGGGGGGGCAAAUCAACUAGAACAAAAUAUAAUCACGUGUGUGCACCGAAAUGCCAGAAUAAAACCUAUUACUUGAAAAUUAAUUAAAAAAAUUAGAAUAUAUAGCUUUCUCUGGCCAUGUAGCCAUUUGUAUUUCAACAUCGGAAGGAAAAGCAACAUUAGGUGCCUUCUUUGGUUUGGAUACGUGGGGAUUCAGGAGGCCUUACCACAUAAUAUACAGAAGUCACUCUUUGUCACAUUGGACCUCGCAUAAUCUUGACCUUUCGCCUCCAUACCACUGACACCUCUCACAGUAUUUUACAGUGAUGCUUCAGUACAGCAAGGGUGAGAGUUUGGCCUGGCUGCUGAGCCACCAUGCUGACCGUAACAACAAAUAUGGAGACAGUCCAGGUGGCUGGUCGGUGGUCACUCAGAGUAAGGUGGACCCGAAGAUAAGAUUGCUUUGAGGAGAAUGGCCGCCAGAUUAAAGGGACAUAGCUCCUGGAUUCCUGAAGGUGGAGAAGAGAAAGCACUGGGGGUAACAGCCGGGAGCCGUUUGUAGAGUAGUGGAAGGCGUCUACACUGGAGCUGAACCCGGAAGGUUGGAAGUGGGAGCUGAGAGUGGAAAAUAAACCAGGCAACCCUACCAGUGAAAGGAUGUCGUCAAUCUCCUCCAUGCCAGCCAGCGUGGCUUUUUGCAUAGUGACAUCAGCAUGGGGUGUCCCCGAACUGUGGGGCCAUCUCAGUCACCGCUGAACUUCAACCUCCACGGCAAAGUGCAGCAGCCUCCGCCAACCAUGAAGGCAACGGAGACUGAGCGAGAACUAAUCCAAUGGCAGGAGCUAGGGAAGACCUUGGAUCAUCCGCGGGGGUGCGGUGGACAGAGCGGAAGCGGUUUCCUCAGGUUCAACACUGACGUCCCCGACAAAUUAUUUGCCGUGAGGGCUAACUCCAAGCAGCCUUUGUUAGAAGCAUAGAAAUAAACACUUCCCAGUGUAACUCGGGAUGCUUGGUUCUGAAGGAGGCCGAGGGCUACAGAACUAAUGCUUGAGCAUUUGCUCUGGGCCUGGCUUUGUUCGAGGGGGCGGGGUCCUACAGAUACCGCCAUCUUUAAUCCUCACCGCAGUCCUUGGAUGUUAGUCUCCACCAAGCAGGAAAGCCACCUAAGGUUCAAAGAGGCGAACUGCAUUGUAUAAAGCAAAACAGGCCUGGUUUCCAGCUUGAAAAGCUGCUGAGAGAGGCCUCCUGGUGUAGCAGGGGCCUUCAGACUCGAAACUCCUCGCUUUUUUUUUUUUUUUUUUUUAAAGCCCAAUCCCACCCUUUCCAGGGCACGCCUACGGGAUCUUGGUAUUUUUCUGGAAAGCUCAACUACUUUUCAACUCUCCGUCCCGAGAAAGCUGGUGGGUGUGUCAUAAAAAUCAAACCGAAUUUUUUUAAGUAGAAAUCGCGCAACUGGGCAUUUUGUGAUGAAGUCGCUGUUCAGAUACUGACACUGCACUUGGGUUAACAGACAUGACAGUGGAGGCUUCAAAAAAAAAAAAAAUCAACCCACUGACAGAUGUCGAGAGUGGAAAAAAAGGACCCUGCCCGUAAUAUAGUGAAUUGCUGUAUUUAGGCCUCCAAAGAUUCAAGAGCAUACCUUCGCCUUCAUGAUUGACUUGGAAAGAAAUAGAAAUUAGGACCACACGAGCCAAAUGCACCGAGUUCUUGUAGGCACCCUCAGGCUGUGCGAGGGGCAGCAAGCUCUGCGAGGCCUUCUCACCAACCACACUUUCCUUACUCUCUGUGAUGACUUACAUGGUGCUAGCCUGUCAGAGCCCCCUCAGGUUUCUUCCCCGUCCCAGAAUUUUGACUUAACUGGCAUUUAUAUCCCUCUGACAAGACCAGCCAUUCCUCCUCCAGCCUUUGUCCCACUCUAUCUCCUUCUGGGGACUUUUCUCCUCCAAGAUCUGGAUCUUUGUCGUCACCUAGGGCCACCAUAGUCUCAGGAAAGCCUGCUUCUAUCAACCUACCCAAAGGGCCUCUCUUGGGGCUGGGAAACAGCACAGAGGGAAAGCAUUUGCCUGCCUGGGUUUGAUUUAUAGCGCCCCCAAAAUAAGAUAAACGAGGGAUCUCUUUCUACCACCCACUUUGAUCAUUCUAUCCACCCACUCUCUAUCCCGUAAUUCGUCUCAUCUAUAGCAAGCUCUCUCUGUAUAUGGUUGUUAAGAACAGUGUUUACUGCUCUCUCUUCCUUUGGACUGAAUGCUUAAUGAGAGCAGGCCUUUUCUUUCCUGGGGUCUACACUGACAAACAUACGUGUGUCUAAUGUGGAAUGAGCAACUGAGAGAGAGAAUGGCCAGCUAAACUACAGACCAGGAACGAAAAGACUCUUCUCAGAGUCCUUGCCUGGCAUCUGAGAGGUCCAUUGAUCUUCCAAAGCCUUUAACCUAUCUGAACCCCAGCUUCCUCCUUAGAAGCUGUGAGGGAAGGAUGGGUGUGGAAACUCCAUGGAUACCACCUAACCUGUAUCAUCUGUGCUCACCAGGGCCUGGCAUCUCCUGGCAGAAUUCAGAGGAACAGAUAUCUUCGUGUGGCUGAUUCAUAUGUUUCCAUUUGUCUGUCAAGCAACCUCCUGAAUACUGAGCUCCUAGGGACUGGGGUCUAUAUAAGGAGGCAGGAGCUUACUCCUUGACUUAAUUGGGGACUAAUUAGUAAGCAAUGCUAACCAGCCCUUUAUUAGUCAUGGGUCUGAUGAGCUGAAAUGAAGCAAGGCUGAACACAAAAAUUCCAUUAACUCUAGCCCUAUUCACACCCAGUGUCAGCCAUGCCACUUGAUGGCUUGAAGCAAGCUGCCUUUCAUUUAUCGAAGUCAUUAAUUUUGUAGGGAGAGACAAAGAACUCGAAUCUCUAAGCAUGCAAGCAAUAAUCGCAGUUGAAGACAACCUAUUCAGAGCCAGGGACUCUUAGCAUAAUAAAAAUUUCAUAAAGAUCAAGAGAGAGGUAGCCCAGGCUAGAGUCAUGAAGAAGACCCCAAGAUUCACACUUGCUAAGAGACUUUUUAUUGUUUUGUAUUUUUUCUGUCUUACUCGUUAUCCAAGUACAAUCAGGACGCUGAAUCCUGUGAAUGGUAUAGUCUGGAUAGGCAGGAAA
rnacentral:sRNA from 1 species